GAUGAACGCUAGCUACAGGCUUAACACAUGCAAGUCGAGGGGCAGCGGGAUUGAAGCUUGCUUCAAUUGCCGGCGACCGGCGCACGGGUGAGUAACGCGUAUCCAACCUUCCGCUUACUCGGGGAUAGCCUUUCGAAAGAAAGAUUAAUACCCGAUGGUAUCUUAAGCACGCAUGAGAUUAAGAUUAAAGAUUUAUCGGUAAGCGAUGGGGAUGCGUUCCAUUAGGCAGUUGGCGGGGUAACGGCCCACCAAACCUACGAUGGAUAGGGGUUCUGAGAGGAAGGUCCCCCACAUUGGAACUGAGACACGGUCCAAACUCCUACGGGAGGCAGCAGUGAGGAAUAUUGGUCAAUGGGCGAGAGCCUGAACCAGCCAAGUAGCGUGAAGGAUGACGGCCCUACGGGUUGUAAACUUCUUUUGUGCGGGAAUAAAGGAGCCUACGUGUAGGCUUUUGCAUGUACCGUAACGAAUAAGCAUCGGCUAACUCCGUGCCAGCAGCCGCGGUAAUACGGAGGAUGCGAGCGUUAUCCGGAUUUAUUGGGUUUAAAGGGAGCGUAGACGGGUUUUUAAGUCAGCUGUGAAAGUUUGGGGCUCAACCUUAAAAUUGCAGUUGAAACUGGAGACCUUGAGUACGGUUGAGGCAGGCGGAAUUCGUGGUGUAGCGGUGAAAUGCUUAGAUGUCACGAAGAACCCCGAUUGCGAAGGCAGCCUGCUAAGCCGCCACUGACGUUGAGGCUCGAAAGUGCGGGUAUCAAACAGG
rnacentral:rRNA from 1 species